UGGCGAACUAGGCUGGGAGGUUAGUGCUCUCUUGUUACCUUCAAUGCACUUUAGAAGGAGCUGAAGCCUGAAUGAGGUAUUGAGAUUGAUUAUUGGUCUCGAUUUAGACAAUGAAGCGCUGUCCUGUAGGGUUGGUAAUGGUAAGAACCCAGUCAGGAUGGGAACAUAGCAGCUGUUAUUAUUGUUAUUAGCGCUUACAGUCAACAGAACUGAGAAUAAGUCGGGGGUGCUGAUGGUUAAACUGAAUAUCGACUUUGGGUGUGUUCGCUA
rnacentral:SRP_RNA from 1 species